rnacentral:rRNA from 1 species
GUAAUUUGUAGAGGAUGCUUCGGGCAAGGCCGUGGUCUAAUUCGCUUGGAACAGCGAGUCACAGAGGGUGAGAAUCCCGUCUAGGAUCGUACGCCGCGUCCAUGUGAAGCUCCUUCGACGAGUCGAGUUGUUUGGGAAUGCAGCUCUAAGCGGGUGGUAAAUUUCAUCUAAAGCUAAAUAUUGGCCAGAGACCGAUAGCGCACAAGUAGAGUGAUCGAAAGAUGAAAAGCACUUUGAAAAGAGAGUUAAACAGUAUGUGAAAUUGUUGAAAGGGAAGCGCUUGCAAUCAGACUUGUGUCUGACGGUUCCCCUGGCCCUCGUGGCCGGGCUACUCCGUCAUGUCCAGGCCAACAUCGGUUUGGGUGGUCGGUCAAAGACCCCGAGAAUGUAUCUACCUUCGGGUCGACUUAUAGCCCGGGGUGGAAUGCGGCCCACCCGGACCGAGGAACGCGCUUCGGCUCGGAUGUUGGCGUAAUGGUUGCAAGCGGCCCGUCUUGAAACACGGACCAAGGAGUCUAACAUCUAUGCGAGUGUCUGGGCGUCAAACCCCUACGCGUAAUGAAAGUGAACGGAGGUAAGAACCCCGCAAGGGGCGCAUUAUCGACCGAUCCUGAUGUCUUCGGAUGGAUUUGAGUAAGAGCAUAGCUGUUGGGACCCGAAAGAUGGUGAACUAUGCCUG